rnacentral:sRNA from 1 species
CUUUUUUCUAUUGAAUAUUUUUGUAUUAAAAUAAGGAAAUAUAACCGACUCCAACGGCUCUAUUAUAAUCUCUAUAUAACAUGGAUCCAUCCAUUGGGAUUAGACCUAAAAACGCUCUCACGCACAACUUCUAAUUCUUUCUUCUUUGAGUGAAAU